GAUCAUGGCUCAGGACGAACGCUGGCGGCGUGCUUAACACAUGCAAGUUGAACGAAGCAAUUGAGACAGAAGUUUUCGGACGGAAGAUUCAAUUGACUGAGUGGCGGACGGGUGAGUAACGCGUGAGCAACCUGCCUGGAAGAGGGGGACAACAGUUGGAAACGACUGCUAAUACCGCAUAAGACCACGAUGCCGCAUGGUAAAGUGGUAAAAGGAAUCCGCUUUCAGAUGGGCUCGCG
rnacentral:rRNA from 1 species